rnacentral:rRNA from 1 species
UCAGGAUGAACGCUGGCGGCGUGCCUAAUACAUGCAAGUCGAGCGAACAGAUGAGAAGCUUGCUUCUCUGAUGUUAGCGGCGGACGGGUGAGUAACACGUGGGUAACCUACCUAUAAGACUGGGAUAACUCCGGGAAACCGGGGCUAAUACCGGAUAAUAUUUUGAACCGCAUGGUUCAAUAGUGAAAGACGGUUUCGGCUGUCACUUAUAGAUGGACCCGCGCCGUAUUAGCUAGUUGGUAAGGUAACGGCUUACCAAGGCGACGAUACGUAGCCGACCUGAGAGGGUGAUCGGCCACACUGGAACUGAGACACGGUCCAGACUCCUACGGGAGGCAGCAGUAGGGAAUCUUCCGCAAUGGGCGAAAGCCUGACGGAGCAACGCCGCGUGAGUGAUGAAGGUCUUCGGAUCGUAAAACUCUGUUGUUAGGGAAGAACAAAUUUGUUAGUAACUGAACAAGUCUUGACGGUACCUAACCAGAAAGCCACGGCUAACUACGUGCCAGCAGCCGCGGUAAUACGUAGGUGGCAAGCGUUAUCCGGAAUUAUUGGGCGUAAAGCGCGCGUAGGCGGUUUCCUUAAGUCUGAUGUGAAAGCCCACGGCUCAACCGUGGAGGGUCAUUGGAAACUGGGAAACUUGAGUGCAGAAGAGGAGAGUGGAAUUCCAUGUGUAGCGGUGAAAUGCGCAGAGAUAUGGAGGAACACCAGUGGCGAAGGCGGCUCUCUGGUCUGUAACUGACGCUGAUGUGCGAAAGCGUGGGGAUCAAACAGGAUUAGAUACCCUGGUAGUCCACGCCGUAAACGAUGAGUGCUAAGUGUUAGGGGGUUUCCGCCCCUUAGUGCUGCAGCUAACGCAUUAAGCACUCCGCCUGGGGAGUACGACCGCAAGGUUGAAACUCAAAGGAAUUGACGGGGACCCGCACAAGCGGUGGAGCAUGUGGUUUAAUUCGAAGCAACGCGAAGAACCUUACCAAAUCUUGACAUCCUUUGACCGCUCUAGAGAUAGAGUCUUCCCCUUCGGGGGACAAAGUGACAGGUGGUGCAUGGUUGUCGUCAGCUCGUGUCGUGAGAUGUUGGGUUAAGUCCCGCAACGAGCGCAACCCUUAAGCUUAGUUGCCAUCAUUAAGUUGGGCACUCUAGGUUGACUGCCGGUGACAAACCGGAGGAAGGUGGGGAUGACGUCAAAUCAUCAUGCCCCUUAUGAUUUGGGCUACACACGUGCUACAAUGGAUAAUACAAAGGGCAGCGAAUCCGCGAGGCCAAGCAAAUCCCAUAAAAUUAUUCUCAGUUCGGAUUGUAGUCUGCAACUCGACUACAUGAAGCUGGAAUCGCUAGUAAUCGUAGAUCAGCAUGCUACGGUGAAUACGUUCCCGGGUCUUGUACACACCGCCCGUCACACCACGAGAGUUUGUAACACCCGAAGCCGGUGGAGUAACCUUUUAGGAGCUAGCCGUCGAAGGUGGGACAAAUGAUU